UCCGAGUUGACCCCGGCAGUCUCCUGCGAGUCCCCGCCAUUACGCGCUGGCAACACAGGACAAGGGUUGCGCUCGUUGCGGGACUUAACCCAACAUCUCACGACACGAGCUGACGACAGCCAUGCACCACCUGUAUGGAGCCCAAAAGGACCUCACAUCUCUGUGAGUUUUCUCCAUAUGUCAAACCCAGGUAAGGUUCUUCGCGUUGCAUCGAAUUAAGCCACAUGCUCCACCGCUUGUGCGGGCCCCCGUCAAUUCCUUUGAGUUUCAACCUUGCGGUCGUACUCCCCAGGCGGGGUACUUCCUGCGUUAGCGCCGGUACUCCAAGGGUCGCUCCCCGGAGCACCUAGUGCCCAUCGUUUACGGCGUGGACUAC
rnacentral:misc_RNA from 1 species